AUGACCAUCAAAGGUCUUACCAGCUGCCCCUGCCUCCUGGGCUGUGUGGUCUUCUGUCUCCUGCAGGCAGGGGCGGUCCAUGCUGGGGUCACUCAGGACCCCAGAUUCCAGGUCGUGAGGAGAGGACAGAGCAUGACACUGAGAUGUACUCAGGAUCUGGGAAAUGACCGCAUGUACUGGUACCGACAAGACCAAGGACACGGGCUGAGGCUAAUCCAUUACUCAGCUGGUGUGCACACUAGCGAGCCAGGAGACAUGCCUGACUGGUACAGCGUCACUAGAUCAAACACAGAGAACUCUCCUCUCAUGCUGGAGUCUGCCAACCGCUCCCAGACAGUUGUGUACUUCUAUGCCAGCAGUUACUCCAGGGCGCUGCAGGGUCACCUGCUCUCUGUUGAAAAAGACAAGGGGCCCACAUGCAGGAUCCUAGCACUGGGAACCUAAUGCCCUGGGGACCACGUGCCAGCACUGUGACCCUGAUGUGUGACCUGGACAGGCCUGGAUCUGACCCCAGGGACUCAGACACACAUGUCCACCACCAGUUUCUGUCUUUCCUUUGCAUCCUCCCUGGAUGCAGUUCAGAAAGCAUCCAGUUCUGAGUAGUUCUGAGUCUUCCUCAUCAGCUUAAGACGUCCAGAAGGGAAGAAUAUUAGUAAAUCAGAUAUAUCUAGACCCUCUUGUCUCUCCCAGAACCUCAUUGCUGUCUCUCUGGAAGUUUCUCCGGCAGCCUAGCUUUCAAGUGCUCCCUGCUCUUGCCCACCAGAGGGGUGGGUCUUUCCUCCUUUACUGCUUUGGGCUCAGCUCCCCUGCCCUCUGUGUCCAGACACACUUCUCUCCCCUCAUCUGGGUCAUGUCCCUUCCCAUGACACAGGGAACUUUGUAACCAAGCAUAAGCGGUCGUGUUUGAGCAAGUUCUUGGGGUCAUCAAAGAGAAAACAACCUCAGUUAAUUGGAAACCAGCCAAAAUCCCUUGGGAGUCCAUUCCCAGGAGGAGAGACAGGCGGGGGGUGUGUGUUCUCCUUCCUGCCCCUCUUUCCUAGCAUCUCAAUUAACCUGGACCAGGU